UACGGGGGGGGCAAGCGUUGUUCGGAAUUACUGGGCGUAAAGGGUUCGUAGGUGGCCAACUAAGUCAGACGUGAAAUCCCUCAGCUUAACUGGGGAACUGCGUCUGAUACUGGUCUGGCUUGAGUGCAGGAGAGGAACGCGGAAUUCCAGGUGUAGCGGUGAAAUGCGUAGAUAUCUGGAGGAACACCGGUGGCGAAGGCGGCAUCCUGGACCGGCAUUGACGCUGAGGCGCGAAAGCCAGGGGAGCAAACGGG
rnacentral:rRNA from 1 species